rnacentral:miRNA from 1 species
CUUGGAUUUUCCUGGGCCUCAG